rnacentral:rRNA from 1 species
GACGAACCGUGCAAACGUUGUUCGGAAUCACUGGGCUUAAAGGGCGCGUAGGCGGGCAACCAAGUCAGGGGUGAAAUCUUUCGGCUUAACCGGAAAACAGCCUCUGAUACUGGUUGUCUCGAGGGAGGUAGGGGCAUGUGGAACUUCCGGUGGAGCGGUGAAAUGCGUUGAUAUCGGAAGGAACGCCGGUGGCGAAAGCGACGUGCUGGACCUCUUCUGACGCUGAGGCGCGAAAGCUAGGGGAGCAAACGGG